ACUCUCUUUGACAGAAUAUAUACUAAAAUUGGAACAAAACAGAGACGAUUUGCAUGACCUCUGGGCAACGAUGACAUGCAGAUUCAUGAAGCAGUCCAUAUUUUU
ensembl:snRNA U6 U6 spliceosomal RNA